rnacentral:rRNA from 1 species
CAUGCAAGUCGAACGGAGAUUACAGGCGGAAGUUUUCGGACGGAAGCUUGUAAACUUAGUGGCGGACGGGUGAGUAACACGUGAGCAACCUGCCUAUCAGAGGGGGAUAACGAUUGGAAACGAUCGCUAAUACCGCAUGACAUAGCGGAAUCGCAUGGUUCUGUUAUCAAAGAUUUUAUCGCUGAUAGAUGGGCUCGCGUCCGAUUAGAUAGUUGGUGGGGUAACGGCCUACCAAGUCGACGAUCGGUAGCCGGACUGAGAGGUCGAACGGCCACAUUGGGACUGAGACACGGCCCAGACUCCUACGGGAGGCAGCAGUGGGGGAUAUUGCACAAUGGGGGAAACCCUGAUGCAGCGACGCCGCGUGAGGGAAGACGGUCCUCUGGAUUGUAAACCUCUGUCUUCGGGGACGAAACGAGACGGUACCCGAGGAGGAAGCCACGGCUAACUACGUGCCAGCAGCCGCGGUAAUACGUAGGUGGCAAGCGUUGUCCGGAAUUACUGGGUGUAAAGGGAGCGUAGGCGGGCAGGCAAGUCAGGCGUGAAAUAUAUCGGCUCAACCGGUAACGGCGCUUGAAACUGCAGGUCUUGAGUGAAGUAGAGGUUGGCGGAAUUCCUAGUGUAGCGGUGAAAUGCGU